GGCAGCACAAUGAUGAUGUCACUGAUUCUACUGCUGGCCACCCUGGGGCUCCUUGUUCAGGAUUCAUCAGGAGAAAUCAUCCUGACUCAGUCUCCUGGAGCUCAGUCUGUUGUUCCAGGACAGACUGUCUCUCUCAGAUGUAAAGCCAGUUCAAGGAUCAGUAGCAACAUUUCAGAUCAUUUCAGUGGGAGUCAGUCUGGAACUGACUUCACUUUGACCAUCAGUGGAGUCCAGGCUGAAGACGCAGGAGUUUAUUACUGUCACCAGGGUGGUCACAGCUUCCCAUUCAUACAGUGAUACAACGUCGUACAAAAUCUUCCCUCAGCUGGAGAGGAACUGAUCUGAAUCACCAGCUGCACAGAAACCAUAACACUAGAUAUUUCAAAAACAUAACCACACUGUAAUGUAAUGUAUGUAAAUGUACUUUAAUUAGAAUGAAACUCAUGCAGUUAAAAGUUGUAAAGUUACAUUUUACUGAAACACACUGAGAGGUUACAAUAAUAAGAAAUGUCAUUUCGUAAGUUUUCCUUUGUUUUAGGUGAGUAUGUUAUUCAAAUUCAAUGCACCUCCAUGUUGAUUUGUAAAAUGUGAAAUCACUUUCAUAUUUUGUUAAUUUGAUAUAUUCUGUGUUGUUGUUUUUUUGCUUCUCAUCAUAAAGCUUAAAAUAUUUUUUGUUUAAACUUUGGUAGAUGUAUUGACAGGACUGAGUAAAUUGUCUUCAUGCAAAUAAAACACUGAUGAAAUAGGUGUGAUGAAAAUUUGAUAUUUUUUUGAUAUAUAUUUUGAAAUUUGAUAGGGCAUGCAAGCUGAAGAUUUAUACAAAGAGGACAAAGUGAUAAAAUAGCCAUCAAAAGGGGCUGAAGAACUCUGUACUAACCAAUCACAGUACGAGAAAAUGGACAGUAGGAGAGACCGGUGGACAAAAAUGGACAUUGGUACACAGAGAUUGUCUGGACAGAUACAAAACAGAUCCAAAUGGACUGAGCUGGAGGGGGCGGGACGGACGCUAGUGACAGGAAACAACUGGGACACACACACACUGGCUCCAGAUGGUUCGGUGACCCCAGUGCUGGAAGGAAUGCGUUCGCUACGAGAAGAACUUGCAGAGAACUCUGAAGUGGACACUAAUAUGUUUGACUGGUCUGAUUCUGUAUUUGCUAAAUAAAAAGCCUUAGUGAUGCCCAUA